CUGCUGAGCAGCUUGUAAGUGCCGAAGGACACCGUGAGUCGCUUCAGCAGAGGGGCGACGAUAUCGACUGCAUCUGCGUACAUUAUGUUGCUCUCAAGGAAAAGUUCCUGCAGCGAUGGCAAGUGGAGUGAGAUGAAGCCAUUCCGGACAAGUCCGAAGCCAUCGUUGAUAAACUUGAGGCUGAGCACGAGGAGGUGCGGGCAUCGGGGGAGCAAGCUGUAGAGGCCGCCGAGGCCGUAGGAGAUGGACAGCGUCCGGAGCGCGGUGAACUCGCUGUCGGGGCAGUAGAAGAGAAGCCUUUCCAUCAUGAGAGAUUUGGUCCGCUGGAAGCACGGCAGCCGGACGAGGUUCCGCCGGUCAUCGAAUUCUACGCCCCACGGUAAGCUGAGGACGAUCUCCUCCGGCUCCAGCCGCACAACGGCGCAGAGCAGCCUGGUGGCCGUGGCGCCGAAGGGCCCGGGAUGCCUGCUGCUGCUGGGGAUGCGGACUUCCAGGAGGGAGACCGCGGCCGGGGGGGCACGGACACGGCCGAGCGCCGGUACAAUCGACGGCGCGAGGUUGUGGAAGACCAUUUGGCGGAGAUGCGUCCAGAGAUCGCGCCACCGGCGGGAGAGGACGCUGGUGCGCGCGGCGGUGGCAGCGCAUCCCAUGAGGGUGAGGAUGAGGAGGAGGAGCUCCUGCGGGAGGUUGCUGAUGCGAUCUGGUUUGCCGCCGCCGCCGCUUGGGCUACACAGCUGCGGCUGCGGGAAACGCAGGGGACGCCCCGGCCUCACCUCCAUCGGAGCACCAGCAAUCUGCGGGGACGAACGGAGUCGACGACGCCCGGAUCUUGACUCCAUGGAAGGGAAGGCAGCUUCGCCAAGCAAAACCAAAGCCCACGGUUUUCCCCCUUUUGGAACUGAAACCCCGGUGUGUUUGGGUCCCCACCCAGCUUUUCAGCCUACCAUCUUUAUUAUAUACACUUUUUUAUUUUCAGACCAGCAUUUCCCAAAUAAUUCCGAAUAACAAUUUCUGGUGCAAAACAUUCUCUGGUGCAAAACAUUCUCAUCGGAGGCAUUAGAUAAUAAAUGAAGGCUAACCCUCUUCUUUCAAACCAACAGAGAAACGACUCGAUUCCCGCGCAAACGUUCGCGCAUUGGCAUGGUGAUCCCGCAUUGGCGCGGUGAUCCCGCAUUGGCGCGAACGUUCCGGAGCAACCUACCAAAUAUCUACGCUUUUGAUGGAAACCUGGGAGAGCCGUACCAUUUUUUUUAGUUUGUACCCCCUCGGCCGAUGAAAUUGAUAAAACUACCUCCACUUCGUGUAAUUGGCAAAAAGGCCCUGACAGAAGUGUGACCAGGUGAGAUGUAUCUCCUUCCUGUGUAGGAAGCCGCUUCCCUCCGUAGACCGGGGUUGAAUGCGGCGGUCCAUGGGCCAGAAGUGGCGCAGGGUCCGAGCGCGCGAGUAGAUUCCUUUUUCCAACAUAAAAGUUGUGGGAAGUACCAUAUCAUCCGGAAGGGAGGAACCGAAUCUAGAGUUUGGCAUGGAGGCGGCCCCCCUACACACACAUUGUCAUCCCCGUCGAAUGUCCCAAAGCGCGGUACCCGCGAUGCUAUGUGGUGGUAGACGGCCGUCCGGGAACCUUACUGAUGAGCACACUCGUUCCCUCAUGUGAUCGGCCUGUCUCUUUUAUUCUCUAAUGCAAGAUCUAGUUGGAUUAAUACCACAUACUUUGGAUUACCUACAUCAACACUUACUUUUUUUAAAUCCGCAUUUUCUCACCAGUGUUUGCAUUGCUAGAACAUCUAGCUGUAAAUCCUUUGUACAUGCAACACUUAACUUUUGAUAAGGCAAUUUGUAAUUUAGUCCGUAAAAACACCCUAACAAUUUUUGGCACCAUGUAAUUUAAUUAGUUCAUACUUCACCUUAUUGACAAAGGGUUUAGGAGUUAUCCAAACCAUAUUUGUCAUUGUCGAUGAGCACAAAUGCCAAAGGCUUUAGGCUUUACCCUAACCUUCUUGUCUUAGUCGAUGACGACAAAUGAUAAAGGGUUUUGGAUUUACCCUAACCAUAUUUGUCAUCAUGGACGACGACCAAUGCCAAAAGGUUUAGGCUUUACCCUAACAAUAUUUGUCAUCAUUGACGACAGAAAAUGCCAAAGGGUUUUGGAUUUACCCUAACCAUAUGCCAAAUGCAUAAUUAAUCACUCAUCAUUCAUCAACAAGCAAGAUCAUCAUGCCAAAUGCAUUAUUAAUGAACAAGCAAGAUCAUCAUGCCAAAUGCAUCAUUAAUCAACAAGCAAGAUCAUGAUGCCAAAUGCAUCAGCCAUCAAUCAUGAUAAAUGUGUCAUUCAUCAAUAGUCCAGAUCAUCAUCAAUUAGUUCGUUCAAACAGUCUAAAUCAUCAUUAAUUAGUUCGUUCAUCCAUCCAUCAUCAGUACACAUGACUUACCAGUUCAACACUAAAAGUUCAAUAGGUUCAACGUACUCGUAGCUCAACAGACAUGACUUAACAAUUUAAUCUAUAUCUAUAUCUAUAUCUAUAUCUAUAUCUAUAUCUAUAUCUAUGUAUACCUAUAUCUCUCUAUAUCUAUAUCUACAUCUAUACAUAAUAUUAAAAGGAGGAAGCUUUCUUAGUUCUCCAUGUGACACCCUUUUAUAUCCGUUAAUUUAAUGUCACCCAUAUGAAUUGAUGGUUGAGAUUUGAUGUAUGUAGUGUGUUUCUCUGAGUUGAUAAAAAUUACCCCCAAUGCCACAUAUAAGUGAGAAAAAAGUUUUUUUUGCCCGUCUAAAUUUUCACCAUCAUCCAUUCAAAAAAUUUCCUACGCACACGCAAGAUCAUGGUGAUGCAUAGCAACGAGAGGGGAGAGUAUUGUCCACGUACCCUCGUAUACCGAAAGCGGAAGCGUUAUGACAACGCGGUUGAUGUAGUCGUACGUCUUCACGAUCCGACCGAUCCAAGUACCGAACGUACGGCACCUCCGAGUUCAGCACACGUUCAACUCGAUGACGAUCCCCGGACUCCGAUCCAGCAGGGUGUCGGGGAUGAGUUCUGUCAGCAUGACGGCAUGGUGACGAUGAUGAUGAUCUACCGACGCAGGGCCUCGCCUAAGCACCGCAACAAUAUGACCGAGGUGGAAUAUUGUGGAGGGGGGCACCGCACACGGCUAAGGAACGAUCACGAAGAUCAACUUGUGUGUUAUGGGGUGCCCCCUGCCCCCGUAUAUAAAGGAGGGAGGGGGGAGGUGCGGCCGGCCCCUAGGGUGCGCCUGGAGGAGUCCUACUCCCACCGGGAGUAGGACUCCCCCCUCUUGCCUUGUAGGAGAAGGAAAGGGNNNNNNNNNNNNNNNNNNNNNNNNNNNNNNNNNNNNNNNNNNNNNNNNNNNNNNNNNNNNNNNNNNNNNNNNNNNNNNNNNNNNNNNNNNNNNNNNNNNNNNNNNNNNNNNNNNNNNNNNNNNNNNNNNNNNNNNNNNNNNNNNNNNNNNNNNNNNNNNNNNNNNNNNNNNNNNNNNNNNNNNNNNNNNNNNNNNNNNNNNNNNNNNNNNNNNNNNNNNNNNNNNNNNNNNNNNNNNNNNNNNNNNNNNNNNNNNNCCAUUAACCCCCGGGGGGGGGGGGGUUCCGGUAACCCCCCGGUACUCCGGUAAAAUCCCGAUUUCACCCGGAACGAUUCCGAUAUCCAAAUGUAGGCUUCCAAUAUAUCAAUCUUUAUGUCUCGACCAUUUCGAGACUCCUCGUCAUGUCCGUGAUCAUAUCCGGGACUCCAAAAAACCUUCGGUACAUCAAAACUUAUAAACUCAUAAUAAAACUGUCAUCGUAACGUUAAGCGUGCGGACCCUACGGGUUCGAGAACUAUGUAGACAUGACCAAGAACUUUUUCCGGUCAGUAACCAAUAGCGGAACCUGGAUGUUCAUAUUGGCUCCUACAUAUUCUACGAAGAUCUUUAUCGGUCAAACCGCAUAACAACAUACGUUGUUCCCUUUGUCAUCGGUAUGUUACUUGCCCGAGAUUCGAUCAUCGGUAUCCAAUACCUAGUUCAAUCUCGUUACCGGCAAGUCUCUUUACUCGUUAUGUAAUGCAUCAUUCCGUAACUAACACAUUAGCUACAUUGCUUGCAAGGCUUGUAGUGAUGUGCAUUAGCGAGAGGGCCCAGAGAUACCUCUCCGACAAUCGGAGUGACAAAUCCUAAUCUCGAAAUACGCCAACCCAACAAGUACCUUCGGAGACACCUGUAGAGCACCUUUAUAAUCACCCAGUUACGUUGUGACGUUUGGUAGCACACAAAGUGUUCCUUCGGUGAACGGGAGUUGCAUAAUCUCAUAGUCAUAGGAACAUGUAUAAGUCAUGAAGAAAGCAAUAGCAGAAUACUAAACGAUCAAGUGCUAAGCUAACGGAAUGGGUCAAGUCAAUCACAUCAUUCUCCUAAUGAUGUGAUCCCGUUAAUCAAAUGACAACACAUGUCUAUGGUCAGGAAACAUAACCAUCUUUGAUCAACGAGCUAGUCAAGUAGAGGCAUACUAGUGACACUCUGUUUGUCUAUGUAUUCACACAAGUAUUAUGUUUCCGGUUAAUACAAUUCUAGCAUGAAUAAUAAACAUUUAUCAUGAUAUAAGGAAAUAAAUAAUAACUUUAUUAUUGCCUCUAGGGCAUAUUUCCUUCAGUCUCCCACUUGCACUAGAGUCAAUAAUCUAGAUUACACAGUAAUGAUUCUAACACCCAUGGAGUCUUGGUGUUGAUCAUGUUUCGCUCGUGGAAGAGGCUUAGUCAACGGGUUUUCAACAUUCAGAUCCGUAUGUAUCUUGCAAAUUUCUAUGUCUCCCACCUGGACUAGAUCCCAGAUGGAAUUGAAGCGUCUCUUGAUAUGCUUGGUUCUCUUGUGAAAUCUGGAUUCAUUCGCUAAGGCAAUUGCUCCAGUAUUGUCACAAAAGAUUUUCAUUGGACCCGAUGCACUAGGUAUGACACCUAGAUCAGAUAUGAACUACUUCAUCUAGACUCCUUCAUUUGCUGCUUCAGAAGCAGCUAUGUACUCCGCUUCACACGUAGAUCCCGCCACGACGCUUUGUUUAGAACUGCACCAACUGACAGCUCCACUGUUUAAUGUAAACACGUAUCCGGUUUGCGAUUUAGAAUCGUCCGCAUCAGUGUCAAAGCUUGCAUCAACGUAACCAUUUACGAUGAGCUCUUUGUCACCUCCAUAUACAAGAAACAUAUCCUUAGUCCUUUUCAGGUAUUUCAGGAUGUUCUUGACCGCUGUCAAGUGAUCCACUCCUGGAUUACUUUGGUACCUCCCUGCUAGACUUAUAGCAAGGCACACCUCAGGUCUGGUACACAGCAUUGCAUACAUGAUAGAGCCUAUGGCUGAAGCAUAGGGAACAUCUUUCAUCUUCUCUCUAUCUUCUGCAGUGGUCGGGCUUUGAGUCUUACUCAACUUCACACCUUGUAACACAGGCAAGAACCCUUUCUUUUCUUGAUCCAUUUUGAACUUCUUCAAAACUUUGUCAAGGUAUAUGCUUUAUGAAAGUCCAAUUAAGCGUCUUGAUCUAUCUCUAUAGAUCUUAAUGCCCAAUAUGUAAGCAGCUUCACCGAGGUCUUUCAUUGAAAAACUCUUAAUCAAGUAUCCCUUUAUGCUAUCCAGAAAUUCUAUAUCAUUUCUGAUUAGUAAUAUGUCAUCCACAUAUAAUAUCAGAAAUGCUACAGAGCUCCCACUCACUUUCUUGUAAAUACAGGCUUCUCCAAAAGUCUGUACAAAACCAAAUGCUUUGAGCACACUAUCAAAGCAUUUAUUCCAACUCCGAGAGGCUUGCACCAGUCCAUAAAUUGAUCGCUGGAGCUUGCACACUUUGUUAGCUCCCUUUGGAUCGACAAAACCUUCUGUGAGUAUAACAGAGUUGUAGUCUUCAUACUUGUGUGACAGAUUGAAAUCCCAUCCAUGCGCCUCACUCAUAGACUACAUGAGGAUCUCCGUCGCAUUGACCGGAGUAUCACAACCAUAUGCGGCCCUGAUCCAGUCUUGCUGGUACUGUGUGGUACACAAGAGCCCGCCCUUUGACUGAAAAUCAUGGUCUUGUAGUUGUCAUACCAGGAAGCGAUCUCCUUCAUCUUAGCCCACAGAUCAGUGUUGCCAAACGCUAACGCUGCAAUGAGCCUGUUCCAUCGAUCACCUACGGUCGUCCAUCUGUUAAGAAAAUAUACAAAUGAAUUAAUAAGACAUCAUUAUUAAUUACAUACAUGAAAAAACGUAAAGUACAUGUAAUUAACACUACAAAUGGAAAGUUAUAUACUUAUACUAAUAUUUGAACAAUGUUAUUUAUGCAUGCAUAUUUACAUUUUUUUUAUUAGCAUAACAAAGAAUUGCAAUACUAGCCAUCUAUCGACCAUCAAUCCAAAAUAUUACCGAUCGAUUCUAUCUAGCUACUUUUGAUAAAAAAAGGCAUGUCAUAAUCGAUAUAAAAACAAGAUAUGAUAUGAUGCAUCUAUUAUAACAUAUAAAACAAAAUAUCAUUGUUCUAUUCAUACGAAUAUGAACACAAAGGGAGUGAAUAUGAACUUGAACACACAAAGCCACAUGUAUAUUCACUCCUUCGUGUUGAUAUCCACUACCACCAUAAACCAAACACCGUCGAUUCAAUUCAUAUGGAUUAGUCAAACAUGAAGAGAUCGAACUAUAUGAACACGUAGAUAUCGAACUAUACAUAUGUAAGAGUUAUAUCGAGACCAAUUGAUGUGCUCAUCUCGUUAUGUUGUUCCGGUCCGGAUACAUGAAGUGUUUUUGGUUGGGAUGGAGAAGGCCGGCGGCAGCGGUGUUGGGAAACGUAGUAAUUUCAAAAAAAUUCCUAUGCACACGCAAGAUCAUGGUGAUGCAUAGCAACAAGAGGGGAGAGUGUCGUCCAUGUACCCUUGUAGACCGUAAGCGGAAGCGCUAUAACAACGCGGUUGAUGUAGUCGUGCGUCUUCAUGAUCGACCGAUCCAAGUGCCGAACGUACGGCACCUCCGCGAUCUGCACACGUUCAACUCGGUGAUGUCCCACGAACUCACGAUCCAGUAGAGCUUCGAGGGAGAGUUCCAUCAGCACGACGGUGUAAUGAUGGUGUUGAUGAAGCUACCAACGCAGGGCUUUGCCUAAGCACUGCUACGAUAUGACCGAGGUGGAUUAUGGUGGAGGGGGGCACCGCACAUGGCUAAAGAUCAAUGAUCAACUUGUGUGUCCAUGGGGUGCCCCCCUCCCCCGCAUAUAAAGGAGUGGAGGAGGGGGAGGGUCGUCCCUCAACUAUGGCGCGCCCUGGGGAGUUGUUGGGGUAAUGAACCCCGGGCAGGCAACGGAACCCGGAUCCUUUUCAAAAACAACAGGGCCAGCAUCGCCCCUCAAGCUGGCACACGCUUGGCCGGGUCGCUCGACCCGGCCAAACCCCGCAACCUGGCCACGCUCUCCGACCCGGCAAGACACGUUGACUCGACCUCAACAACUAGUACAAGUCAGCUGAACCCGGCGCAACCGAGGCUUCCUCAACAAGCCAGCUCAACCUGUGGCGUGCUCUGCAAUCCAGCCACAGGUCAGCUCUCGUCCCAUCCCGACCGUAUGAUGGGACGAUUCUUCAGACACUCAUGAACAAGGAAACAAUGUCCCGCCCAUGCCUCUGGUCAGCCGGAGCGUGGCAACAGUGCCCUUCACCUACCCGCUGACCAAGGCCGGCGUGGCUACAGUGCCCCCGCCAUCACCACUGAUGACAGAAAGCGGCGACCUGACGGAGCGCCACUGUACACGACUCGACUCGGCCACGCCCUGAUGAUCGACAAGAUGGCGCACAGUCCCCCUAGGCACGCGGGGCCCGCACCUAGGGGAACCCGGCGAACCACAGGCCCCCAGCGGGUCCCAGCCCGGAUCCCCGGACACCGACAACCCAGACCCACCGACUUGUAACAUUACCAUUGUACCCCUGGGCUUGGCCUAUAAAACCCCCCAGGAGCCCACACAUACAGGUAGGCAAGUAAGUAGUAAGCAGAGAACCAAGUAAGCAAGAGAGGAACUAGCCACCGAAACAGUAACAUCCGCUCGGAGAGAAGGAGCAGCCUAAGCCUUGGCCAGCCCUCCUUCCUCCUCCAUACAGCUCUAGGAGCAACAUUUUACUAUCGAACAUCAAACUAAACUCGGCAGGACUAGGGGCGUUAUCUCUCUGGAGAGCCCCGAACCUGGGUAUGUCUUGCGUCCCGCGCUCGCUCAUACCAAACCCGCCUACGGAGCCCAUCAGUGCCCUCGAGCCUCCUCCUCUCUUUAGCCAUCCCGUGGCAUCUGCCGUGCGCCCACCAGGACAGUUGGCGCCGACCGUCGGGCAGCUCGAGGAGCUGGCCGGAGCAUGCUUCGGAUGGGCCCCCUCCCCUACUCCGACGAGUCCGUCAAGCUGGCGGACGACGUCGUCGGCGCGCUUGACACCUCCUUCUCCGCACUGCGCCCGAUGCGCCCACGGCCGACGAGUACCCCAGCGAGGUGCUCAGCUACUCCGACUCCCCCCUCUCCCUUGGCGGUGGAAUUUCCACCGGGGCAAUGGACGUCCACAUGGAGGUCUUCGUCACCGGCGAUGGCACCUCCUCUUCAUCGAGCAAGAUGAGGAAGGCUGCCGAAGUUGGGGAACAAACCGAGCCGUCCAAUCCGUUGCGCGCCGCGAUGCAGAGCCUCCGCAUCCCCAUCGGCACCGACAUCGACGCCACCAACGUCGCUCAGGCCGGGACCCAGCUCGAGGAAAGGCGCCAGCAGAUGCUGGACCUGUCUGAGACGCGCUCGCCGCCACCUAGCGUCGUAUGGAUUCCGCUCAGCUGGAGCGCAACGCCGCCUAUAGAUUCACGCCCGCCACGGCCGAGCCGAGCCGGGUUGCCGACGUGCGCGCCUGGGGAGGAGCGAUCGGUCGGGACCUCGGCGCCGUCCAAACCGUCUAUGAGACCCCAGCGAAGAACAUGCGCGCUGUCCAGGCAGCCGCAGUCGACCUUGACCAGCUCACGGGCGAGGAACUGAGGGAGCGCAUCGGGCAGAUGCGCGAACUCCUCAACGCGGCCAACACCCAGCAGGACCGCCUCAACCAGCUCACCAAGCCGGUGGGAUCCGGCUCCGCCCGCAUCGGCGGACCCGGCGAACUUCAGCACACAGCUUCCUCGCCGCCCAGCAAGGCGCACUCCGGCCGAGCCCGACCUCGGCGCGACCAGGCCGCAACGACCGCCGGCGGUUUGGGCGAAAAGCCCAUCCCGGAGAUCCAGCGCGGACCCGACCAGCAUGGCCGGCAUCUGGCUCCAACCAACCUGCCCCCCGUGGCCUGGUCGCCAGUCGACUCGGCCCGCGCGCCAUCGACGACGCCGACGCUCGCCACCGCCUCGAUCAGCUCGCUCACUCCCUGGAGGUGGAGGAAAGCGGCGCUAUCGUGCCGGCAUGCUUGGGCCCACGCAUCCGGGAAGAGCCCUUUCCCAAAGGGUUCAUCCUCCCCCGCGACACCCCCAAGUACAAUGGGACCGUGAAGCCAGAAGAUUGGCUCACCAACUACACCACCGACAUUGGCAUCACUGGUGCCAAUCGCCGGCUCGCCGUGCGCUAUGCACCGCUUAUGCUCCAGGGGUCGGCCCGCACCUAGUUCAACAGUCUGCCAAUGGGCAGCGUCAACACGUGGGUCGAUUUCGAGAAAGCCUUCAUCCGCAACUUCACGGGGACCUACAAGCGACCCGGCCGCCCUAGCCAGCUCGCCAUCUGCGUGCAAGGGCCUUCGGAGAUCGGUCGCGAGUACCUCGCACGCUGGACCGAGCUCCGGAAUAGCUGUGAGGGCGUCCAUGAAGUCCAAGCAAUCCAAUACUUCAUCAACGAGUGCCAAGACGGCACCCUCCUCAAGCACAAGCUCUUACGCUUCGAGCCGGCCACUAACGCCACGCUCAUGGUAACGGCGGACAAAUACGCCAACGCCGACUCCGCCAUGAAGAUCCAGGUGGCGCUGGAAGAAGCCGGCAAGGCGAAGCCGGUUCCCCCUUCGAAGUCGGCCGACGAAAGCAGCCGGUAGCAGCAUCACGAGAACAACAAGCGCAAGGCCGACCAACCGGCGCAAAGCUAUGACAACCGGCUCCUCGCGGCCACUGAGCCCGCGGCGGACCCGGCGGCCAAGCGCCGACAGACCGGAAAGACGACGUGGCAACCAGCCAUGAGCUUCGAAGAGAUGCUCGACGCUCCCUGCAAGCACCACAGCGGCGCAAGACCAUCCACGCACACGCUUCGGCAGUGCGCCAUCACCAAGCGCAUCAUGAGGGGCGAUGUCCCGCCUCCUCUAGCCGGCUCUGGCUCUAGGCGUGGGGCAGCCACCUCCGCCUCCAGCUGGUGGCGCGAUGUGCGACGACGCCUAUCCGGACCAGAAUGCGGCCUACGUCGUCUUCACCGGCCUCGGCAAAGACAAGCGUAGCGAGCGCCUCCUUCGGCAGGAGGUGAAUACCGUUAUCCCGGCCAAACCAGAAUUCAUGCACUGGUCGGACCGCCCGGUCACCUGGACCCGGGAGGAUCACCUGGCGGUCAUGCCGAGUCCAGGUGGUUACGCCCUCGUCCUCAACCCCACCAUCGUUGUGCGGCUCACGUGCAAGUUCUCCUGAGUACUCAUCGACGGCGGCAGCAACAUCGACAUCCUCUAUCGCGACACAAUGACCAAACUCAGCCUCAAGGCCGAGGACCUGGAACCGACCCGGACGAUCUUCCACGACAUCGUACCCGGCCUCUCCUGCUCUCCCAUUGGCCGGGUCCGGCUCGACGUCCUGUUCGGUGACAGCAGCCACUUCCGGCGUGAACCAAUCUAGUUCGAGGUGGUGGAGCUGUCCAGCGCGUACCAUGCACUGCUGGGCCGAACCGCGCUCGCCAAGUUCAUGGCGGUCCCCCAUUACGCGUAUCUGAAGAUGAAUAUGCCGGGUCCCAAGGGCCUCAUCACCAUCACCGGCGACUACCGCAAGUCCCUGGAGUGCGCCCGAGACGGUGCCAAGCUGGCCGAGUCGCUAGUCAUUGCCGAGGAGCGGCGCCAGCUCGAGCGGAUCGUCGCCAUGGCGGGCGAGGCCUCGGCCGCGUCGAUCCCAACCAAGGAUGCGACCGACGAGGCCGCCUUCAAGCCCUCCAAGGAGACCAAGAAAGUGAAGCUGAACCCAGAGGACCCCAGCUGUAGCAAGUACAUUGUCAUAGGUGCCCGCCUUGACAGCAAAUAGGAAGGCGAGCUCAUCGACUUCCUCCGUGAGAAUCGGGAUAUCUUUGCAUGGACCCCCAAGGACAUGCCGGCUAUCCCGAGGAAGUACGCCGAGCAAAAACUUCACGUCCGCAAGGACGCCAAGCCUGUCCGUCAACCCCCGCGACGUUUUUCCGAAGAGAAGAGAAGAACCAUUGGUGAAGAGGUCACCAAGCUUUUGGCAGCCGGCUUCAUCAUGGAAGUGUUUCACCCCAAGUGCCUGGCCAACCCAGUCCUCGUCCUAAAGAAGAACAAGACCUGGCGCAUGUGUAUCGACUACACCAGCCUCAACAAGGCCUGUCCCAAGGAUCCGUUCGCUCUACCGUGGAUCGACCAAGUCAUCGACUCGACCGCCGGGUGCGAGCUCCUGUCCUUCCUAGACGCUUACUCCGGCUACCACCAGAUCAAGCUGGACCCGGCCGACGCCCUGAAGACGUCCUUCAUCACGAGUUUUCAAGUUUUGGGUAAAGAUUCGAUGGACUAUGGAAUAAAGAGUGGCAAGAGCUUAAGCUUGGGGAUGCCCAAGGCACACCAAGGUAAUAUUCAAGGACAAUCAAGAGCCUAAACUUGGGGAUGCCCCGGAAGGCAUCCCCUCUUUCGUCUUUGUUCAUCGGUAACUUUACUUGGAGCUAUAUUUUUAUUUGCCACAUGAUAUGUGUUUUGCUUGGAGCAUCAUUUUCUUUUGUUAGUAUUUGCUUUCUGUUAUUUAGAAUAAUGUUUUGCAUCUUUAUUUUGAAUAAAAAUGUCAAGGAUAGCCUUUGACAUGCUUAUUUUGCUAGUAUACAUGUUGUUUGAAAACAGAAAGUUUACCACUGUUGCAAAAAUUCCCUAGAAAAGUCAGAGAGUGAUAUAAUGUUGAAUAUUUUUGCAUAAUGAGCUCUGAUAAAUCUUUUACAUCGUAGUAUUUUUCUUAUAAUUUUUGGAGUUAGGGAAGUUUGAGGAAUCUUGCAUUCUUUACAGACUAUACUGUUUUGGUAGAUUGCUGUUAUGUUUGCAUUGUUUGCCUAUGCUUGCUUGUUUAAUGAUUCUAUUUGAGGAUAGGAGUAUUAAAUAUGCAGAUACAUUUAGUAUUCAAUGUUGAAUAAUAAUCUUAGUGAUUUGUUACAGUAGAAAAUGAUAAGGUUUUGCAUUGGUUUAUACUAACCUAUCUCACGAGUUCUUGUUGAGUUUGUUGUGGAUGAAGCUUUUAAUAAAAAGAGAAACCAUGAUACGAAAGGAAUUAAGGAGACACAAAAGUUCAAGCUUGGGGAUGCCCAAGGCACCCCAAGAUAAUAUUUCAAGAAGUCUCAAGCAUCUAAGCUUGGGGAUGCCCUGGUAGGCAUCCCACCUUUCUUCUUCAACAAUUAACGGUUAGUAUCGGUUGAACCUAAGUUUUUGCUUCUUCACAUGAGUUGUGCUAUCCUUGCAAUGCCAUUUUGUUUUGCUUUGCUUUCUGCUUGAAUACAAUACCAAGAUCUGAAAUUCUUAAAUGGGAGAGAGUCUUCACAUAGUUGCAUAAUUAUUUAGCUACUCAUUGGUCUUCACUUAUAUCUUUUUGAGUAGUUUUUCAUUUACUCGGGUGCUUCACUUAUAUCCUAUGAGUAAAUGGUUGAAUGAGUUGAAUGUCAUAAAUCUGAAAUUAUAUAUGUUUCAUUUGCUUAUCCCAUGGGGAGUAAUGACUUCAUGUCUAAGAAGUAGAGGUUGUAAAUUUAUUGACGGUUAGCAAGCAUUGUAUUGGUCAUUUGAACAAUUCAUGAAAGAAUAAUGAAGGAAGAGAAAUUUCACAUAUAAAUAUAUUAUCAUAGACAUCUUUUAUAAUUGUGAGCACUCAUUAAGUAUGACAUGCUAAAGAGUUGAUGUUGGACAAGGAAGACAACGUAAUGGGUUAUGUUUUCUCACAUCUCAGUUAAAGUAUAUUGUCAUGGAUCAUUCAAACAUGUUGAGCUUGCCUUUCCCCCUCAUGCUAGCCAAAAAUUCCUAGCACCAAGUGGAGAUACUACUUGUGCUUCCAAAUAUCCUUAAGCCCAGUUUUGCCAUGAGAGUCCACCAUAUCUACCUAUGGAUUGAGUAAGAUCCUUCAAGUAAGUUGUUAUCGAUGCAAUCAAUAAAAAUUGCUCUCUAAAUAUGCAUGACUUAUUAGUGCGGAGAAAAUAAGCUUUGUACGAUCUUGUUAUGGAAGCAAUAAAAGCAACAGACUGCAUGAUAAAGGUCCAUAUACAAGGGGCAAUAUAAGGUGAUGUUCUUUCGUAUUAAGAUUUUGUGUAUCCAACCCUAAAAGCGCAUGACAACCUCUGCUUCCCUCUGUGAAGGGCCUAUCUUUUACUUUAUGUCUUUUACUUUAUGCAAGAGUCAAGGUGAUCUUCACCUUUCCCUUUUUCAUUUUAUCCUUUGGCAAGCACUUUGUGUUAGGGUGAUCCUGAUAUAUAUAUCAAUUGGAUGUACGUUAGCAUGAACUAUUAUCGUUGACAUCACCCAAAGGUGAAUAUGUUUGGAGGCAAUAAGCCCCUAUCUUUCUCUGUGUCUGAUUAAAACUUCAUAACCACAAGUAUUGCGUGAGUGUUAGCAAUUGUAGAAGACUAUAUGAUAGUUGAGUAUGUGAAGUUUGCUAAAUCAAAGCUCUGACAUAAACCCUUCCUGAAAAUAGGAUGAAUUGCAAUUGUUUGAUGACUAAGAAUGAAGUUUGCUAGUUUUCAAGAAAAUUUAUCAUCUAUGCUUUAACAUGUGAAUAGCUUGUUACUUGAUUAUGAAUAGUUUUAUGAGAUGAACUACUGUUAUGACAUAUAUUCAUGCUAGUAAAGGUGAUUGAAGUUAUCAUUGAUCAAACUUGUGCACCUCUAGCAUUCACACUUCAUAAAUUCUUUCUUUUAUCAUUUACCUACUCGAGGACGAGAAUGAAUUAAGCUUGGGGAUGCUGAUACGUCUCCAACGUAUCUAUAAUUUAUGAAGCAUUCAUGCUAUUUUAUUAUCUGUUUUGAAUGAUUAUGUGCUUUAUUAUACACUUAUAUUACUUUUGGGACUAACCUAUUAACCAGAGGCCCAGCCCAUAUUGCUGUUUUAUUGCCUGUUUCAGUAUUUCAAAGAAAAGGAAUAUCAAACGGAGUCCAAAUGGAAUGAAACCUUCGGCAGCGUGAUUUUUGGAAAGAUUAUGAUACAGGAGACUUGGAGUGCAAGCCGGGGGGUCAUCGGGGAAGCCACGAGACAGGGGACGCGCCCACCCACCUGGGCGCGCCCUACCCUCUCGUGGGCCCCUCGAGGCCCCCCCGACCGGCUUCUUUCGCCUAUAUAAGCCUUCGUACCCUAAAAACAUCGAAUAUCAAGAUAGAUCGGGAGUUCCGCUGCCGCAAGACUCUGUAGGCACCAGAAACCUCUCGGGAGCCCUUCCCGGCACCCUGCCGUAGGGGGAUCCUUCACCGGUGGCCAUCUUCAUCAUCCCGGCGCUAUCCAUGAUGAGGAGGGAGUAGUUCACCCUCGAGGCUGAGGGUAUGUACCAGUAGCUAUGUGUUUGAUCUCUCUCUCUCUCGAGUUCUCUCUCGUGUUCCCUCUAUGGCACAAUCUUGAUGUAUCCCGAGCUUUGCUAUUAUAGUUGGAUCUUAUGAUGUUUCUCCCCCUCUACUCUCUUGUGAUGAAUUGAGUUUUCCCUUUGAAGUUAUCUUAUCGGAUUUAGUCUUUUAAUGAUUUGAGAACACUUGAUGUAUGUCUUGUCGUGCUUAUCUGUGGUGACAAUGGGAUAUCAUGUGCCACUUGAUGUAUGUUUUGGUGACCAACUUGCGGGUUCCUCCCAUGAACCUAUGCAUAGGGGUUGGCACACGUUCUUGUCUUGACUCUCCGGUAGAAACUUUGGGGCACUCUUUGAAGUACUUUGUGUUGGUUGAAUAGAUGAAUCUGAGAUCGUGUGAUGCAUAUUGUAUAAUCAUGCCCACGGAUACUUGAGGUGACAAUGGAGUAUCUAGGUGACAUUAGGGUUUUGGUUGAUUUGUGUCUUAAGGUGUUAUUCUAGUACGAACUCUUGAAUAGAUUGAUCCGAAAGAAUAACUUUGAGGUGGUUUCGUACCCUACCAUAAUCUCUUCAUUUGUUCUCCGCUAUUAGUGUCUUUGGAAUGACUCUUUGUUGCAUGUUGAGGGAUUUUUAUAUGAUCUAUCUAUGUUAUUAUUGUUGAGAGAAUUUGCACUAGUGAAAGUAUGAACCUUAGGCCUUGUUUCCUACCAUUGCAAUACCGUUUACGCUCACUUUUAUUGCUUGCUACCUUUCAGUUUUUAUAAUUUCGGAUUACAAAUACCUUUAUCUACUAUCCAUAUUGCACUUGUAUCACCAUCUCUUCGCCGAACUAGUGCACCUAUACAAUUUACCAUUGUAUUGGGUGUGUUGGGGACACAAGAGACUCUUUGUUAUUCGGUUGCAGGGUUGUUUGAGAGAGACCAUCUUAAUCCUAUGCCUCCUACGGAUUGAUAAACCUUAGGUCAUCCACUUGAGGGAAAUUUGCUACUGUCCUACAAACCUGUGCACUUGCAGGCCCAACGACGUCUACAAGAAGAAGGUUGUGUAGUAGACAUCACAAGCCACCAUUAAGUUUUAACGGCAAUGACAAUGACGAGACAUGUUUUUAUUUUUGUUAAUUCUUUUACAAACCAUGCCAUUUUUGUGUUACUUUGUGCAAGAAUCUUGAUAGGGAUUGUGUGUGUGUGAAAUCUUGUAUAAGGACGAGCACCGGUAAAAGGAGGCGGUGCUAGCAAAAGGUGAGCAAGAGAGGGAGAUGAAAGAUAUAGUUCAGAGCAGCUGAGUUUCAUAUGCUUGAGCUAAUCAAGAAAAAUGAGGAAGACGCAUGUAAGGAGGUGGAACUUCAUGAGAAGGAGGCUCGUGAGGUGGACAUGCAUAGGAAGGGCGAGACAUGGGGCAGACUAUGCAAAUGCAACCAAAGAAGGUGACAAUGGGAAAGGGAAAUUGUCCCUUUAGACUCAGUAGAAUUAAGUUGUAGUUUUGAGAAUAUGGUUUGAUCUUAAUUUUAGUUAUAUAUUUUAAUUGAAAUAUUCGUAUGUAUCUUAAUUUGAGUUAUGGUAUCUCGCUAUGUAUCCUAUUUGCUAGUACUCGAAAUAAAUGUGAACAUAAUUAUGGAAAACAAAUAGUGGUAGGCUGAUAGCAUUUACGUCCGCCGCAAACUUGCAGACGACAACAAAUAUCCGAGAAUAAACAUGUCACAAGAAAUCUAGUUAGCGUGGGCUUGCGCCACCCCCUAUCGCAGAAAGACGAAAAGAGUUUUGAGUGCGUGCAUCCCUUGGAGCACUCACUUCCACAACAAGCCAAUGCAGUAGGUUGCUUGUGCCAAAGGCUAUCGCGGGUUGUACUAUCCACCAUUGGCUGUGGUGGGAGGAGAUCUAUGUCACUUGGUUGCGCUUCCGCCAGGGGCAGUUUUGCCAAUCUCAUCAUAGAGGUGUUGUUUUGCGGGUAGAAGGUCAUUAUUAUAUGAUUUUCCAUGCGACACCCUUUUUCCUGUCGGCAGCCUUGAAUACCUCCCUAACCCUAGAGUUCAUGUCCUCCUCCACCACAACUCAUUGCUCCCGCGACAAACCUAGUUUCUUCUAGGUGACCUGAGUGGCUUCCUCAAUGUUGGAGGCCCCUACAUCAUGUCCACCUCAAUGGCCCUCCUUAAUUGGUGUUGACGACUAUCAUGCAAACAACAUGCUUGCACUAGGAAACCCUUAUACUGGUGAUGUGUGGGUUUGUGAACGGCGCAGCUACGGCUUUGGCCAUUGACAACAUACACUUCUUUGGCGGCCGACAAGUAUAGAUCAUAUUUCAAUAGGACCGUGGUAAUUUAUGGAGGAGAUUACCGUUUUCAUUCUCUAUAGGAUUCCAAAACUGAUGCCUCGUUAUUUUUGUUUUCUGUUUUGUAGACAAUCUAUUCGGUCUAGACACUUGACUAUUUUUCCUAGCAAAAUUAUGCUUGUUUAGCGAGGAUGAAAGGUUUGACUUUCCUUCUAAACAAUGUUUUUAACCAUUAGAUUUACCAAGACACAACCCCAACAAUAAAAUGGAAGAUGCAUGUACCUUCAAAGAUACUGCCCACCCCUUUCUGCAAUGUCCGAAGGCUUCUACGAUUUGGCUGGACCUCAUACUUUAUCGGCUUAUCCUAGUAAGGAGGGAACAUAUCUCGAGGAGGGAGACCACGGGAGAGACAAGGCCUAGCACCGGUUUGAGGGAGUUGAAGAUGCUCCCGUGAAAGAUGAUCUGGCAGAAACUGAAUCAGAGGCUGGCGUGCCACUAGUGGAACAUGACGCUGGUGUGCAUGGUGGUAGUGGCACAUCCGAUGAAAGAAAGAACAAGGAGUAGUAGGUCUUUUUUUUUGGGGGGGGGGGGUACUAAGGUUGUCCACUUCGUUGCCUGCGCUAUCUGGAUCUUGGGUGGAACUCCGGUGAAGCCCUAAGCUAACCUCCAUCGACUGCCAGAUCACAACUUCGAUGGAGUGCAAAACACUAGAAUUCCGGACGCGGGUUCUAGCUAUUCUUCCAGUAGCAGGUGGGAUGCAAUAUACUACUGGACCAACAUUACUCUUUAGCAAAUGCGAGGUUUGGCCAACAUUCCCCCUUUUGUUCCUUUUGUAUUUUUUAAGACAUGAGUUGUGUACACAUAAGGUGCCUGAUUUUCUUAGUGGGAAGAACCUAGGAAGCUUGUGCUCAUUCUCUCAGCUUAGGGCGCGAUGUCUGGUGUGUCAUCGGGAGGCUUCAAUGGAAGGGGGUAACAGAGGUGGCGAUGAGCGCAAGGUCGACCGUAGCGACAAGUGGCGGUGAUGAGAUCACACAUGGUGGUAGAUGGUUAAUGAGUGACAAGUGGCGGCGAUGAGAUCACACAUCGUGGUAGAUGGAUAUGUGGAUGGUGGAAGAUAUGACAACACCAGGGGUUACGCUAGUACGAAAAGCCUUACAGGUGUAGAUAAUUAGUGGCGCCAGCCCCAAACGAGGCGUAGUUGCUAUUUUGGCAAAAUGAAAUAGAACAAAGGGCACUUGAAACCGCAGGUUUAACAUAAUAAUCACAGGUUGAGUGCAUAGAAACCAAUCAAGAUUUAACUGAGCUCCCUAUAAGAGCUACAAUACACUGGCAAUACAACAUGCACUUGAUCAGUUCAGUCCAAGCAAGCAAACAAAGUCUUCAGACUAGGUAAUUCAUUGUUCCGAAUGAGAAAAGGAUGAUGUUUGUCGAUGAGCACUAGAAUUCACAAAUGUAAGGACGGGAAUCAUGCCAACAGAUAAAUAUGGCUGCCAUGCACUAACCCUGCAAAGGAGACAGAUUGAAACCUAGCUCCAGUAAGUAUCGCACCAUGCAAUUGUAUAGUUGCUAUAUUUUUAAUGAUUGUUGUCACUGGCAAAUAAAAAUACAAUAUAUGCUGACAACAGGAACAAAUACCACAGUACAUGCAAAACGGAAUCUCACUGGAACUAAAUAACUUGCAAAAUUGGAUGGCCAAUAAAAAUCAGCAGAUACCACUUCAGCUAUAUAUAGCCUACAAAUUUGAAUACAGACGCAAAACAGAAGGGUCAACAGAAGAAUGCAAAAGGAAAAUAAGGUAAGGACGGAAGCCCACACAAAAAAUAUUUAUUUUUUCUUAUCACCAACUCUAGUAUAUAUCCAGCUUAUAUUUCUGUAAAAAUGAAGGUGUGGGCACACAAAAUCGGAUAAAUAUAGCAUGUUAAAUUAGCCAAUAACUGGGAUACAAGCACAACUAAACUCUAAUUGUGAUGUCAGUACCACAUUUCAACCACCCUAAACAUGAAAAGCAAUGAAAACUUAGGUUUUGAGAAAACUUACAAGAUUUAACAUUUCUAUUUUUAUUUCAUUUAUAUAAGAGCAUGCUAAUCAUGGAUGCUGGAUAAAUACUCACCAGAGCUCUCAUAAACAUAGAAUUCCACCGAAGAAUAGGCCCUGCAGAUGUUAUAUAUUUUUGCGCUUCCACUAUUAUUAGAUGUGGCCUUCUGUGACAGAUGCAAUAUCAUUUUUUUAAGCACUGGCGCACAUUUGAGUAUUAAUUCCAGUAAAUCAAACUCGUGUUCCUGUCCUUCGAAGCCAGUGAUUUCCACUUCUUCGAGAGCAGUCAAGGAGAUAGUUUGAGAUCUCCAGUUUGUGGGUUCACAUGGACAGUGUGGCGGGCAUUCUCCUUUCAGCUAAAACCAAAAAUAAAAUUUAAACUACUACUUAAUUACACAGUGUAUAAUUAAGAAAUGAUAUGAAACAGGCAGGGGAACAAGAAUAAUUACCAGCGAUCUCUCUAGGACGAUCUUAAGCCUCUGUACUCCUCUAGAAAUACGAUUAAUCCCAAGGAGAUGAAACACCAGUGCUCCAAAAACAUGUCCGGCUUUUAGGAGACGUAGCUCCAAAAGAGCGAAAUCAACAACCAUGUGCUUCUCUACCUCCUGCGCUAAGUUGUCUUGAUUGGAAAUAAACCAGCUCUGAAAAAAACAUUGACAGGGUAUAUAUCAUUUUUACAAUUCAGUGUAGUCAACUAUCCAUCUAUCUAUUAUGAACUAGUAAAAGACAAUAAUACAACAGAAAAAAGAGAGAUUUGCUAGAAAUUAUCACAGAAAUGCAAAACAUCAGGCCGUCACUAGGUAAAAUUUUUCAUGUAAACAUCUAUACUUGUGUUUUUGAGUCUGCACGGUUGCUAGUUCCGAUAAAUAAAUUGAGUAAAUUGAGCAUGAGUGGAGUGUGGAUACAUACAUGUGAUGCAUGAAUGUGGAGCGACAGAAGCUGUCCCUGUCUCUCUCCUCUGUGUAUCCACAACCUCUGGAGUCUCCAAGGACCAAACUGAACAAUGCUUCCGGCCUCGAAAUACCACCACUCCCACGAAACCUUCUCCAGCACUGGCGCCGAGACGGAGAUGCUGCUGACCACCUUGUAAGCGCCUACAGACACCGUCAGUCGCUUCAGCAGAGGGGCGACGAUGUCGACUGCAUCUGUGUGUAGUAUGCGGGUUUCAAGGAAAAGUUCCUGCAGCGAUGGCAAGUGGAGUGAGAUCAACCCAUUCUGGACAAGUCCGUAGCCAUCGUUGACAAACUUCAGGCUGAGCACGCGGAGGUGCGGGCAUCGGGGGAGCAAGCUGUGGAGGCCGCCCAGGCCGUAGGAGAUGGAGAGCGUCCGGAGCGCGGUGAACUCGCCGUCGGGGCAGUAGAAGAGAAGCCUUUCCAUCAUGAGAGAUUUGGUCUGCUGGAAGCACGGCAGCCGCACGAGGUUCGGUCCGCCUUCAGAUUCGACGCUCCACGGGAAGAUGAGGACGAUCUCCUCCGGCUGCAGCCGCACGGCAGCGCGGAGCAGCCUGCUGGCCGUGGCGCCGACGGGCCAGGGAUGCCUGCUGGCGUUGGGGACGCGGACUUCCAGGAGGGAGACCGCGGCCGGGGGGCCACGGACACGGCCGACCGCCGCUGCAAUCGACGGCGCGAGGUUGUGGAAGACGAUCUGGCGGAGAUGCGUCCAGAGAUCGCGCCACCGGCGGGAGAGGACGCUGGUGCGCGCGGCCGUGGCAGCGCAUCCCAUGAGGGCGAGAAUGAGGAGGAGGAGCUCCUGCGGGAGGGAGCUGAUGCGAUCCGGUUCGCCGCCGCCGCCGCUUGGGUAACAGAGCUGCGGCUGCGCGAAACGCAGGCGACGCCCGGGACUCAGCUCCAUCGGAGCAGCACCACCAAUCUGCGCGGAUGAACGGAGGGGACGACGCCCGGAUCUUGACGCCAAGCAAAACCAAAGCCCACGGUUUUCCCCCCUUUUGGAACUGAAUCCCCGGUGUUUGGGUCCCCACCCAGCUUUUCAGCCGACCAUCUUUAUCAUAUACACGUUUUCUUUUCAGCCAAGCAUUUCCAAAUAAUCUCGAAUUGCAAUGUAACAUUUCAGGAGCAAAACAUUGUCAUCGGAGGCCUUAGGUAAAAUGAAGGCUAACCCUCUUCAUUCAAACCAACAGAGAAACCAUUCGACUCCCGCGCAAACGUUCGCACAUUGGCGCGAACAUAGCGCAUUGGCGCAAACGUUCCCGAGCAACCUACCAAAUAUGUUCGCUUUUGGUGGAAACCUGGGAGAACCAUACCGUUUUCUUCUUCUUAAUUUGUACCUGCUCCGCCGAUGAAACUGACAAAACUACCUCCACUUCAUGUAAUUGGCAACAAUGGCAUGACAGAAGGGUGAUCAGGCGACAUGUAUCUCCUCCCUGUGUAGGAAGCCACUUCCCUCCAUAGAUCGGGGUUGAAUGCGGCGGUCCAUGGGCCACAAGCGGCACUGGCUCGAAGCGCACCAGUAGAUGGCUCUUUCCACCAUAAGGGUUGGCAGAAGUACCAUAUCAUUCGGGUGUGAGGAACUGGAUCAGGGUUGAAUGCGACAGUCCAGGGCUUGGCAUGGAGGCGGCCCGAUCCGUCCUCCCCAAGCAGCUCACCCUCCCCCACCCCCCUCCCCCCCACACACAUUAUUGUCCCCAUCGCAUUGCCCAGAGCACACCACCCGCGAGGCUAGAUGGUGUUAGACGGCCACCUGGCGACCACAUUGACAAGCACACCCAUUCCCUCAUGUGACCGGCUUCUCUAUUUUAUUCUCUAUGCAAGAUCCACUUGGAUUAAUACCACCUAAUUUGGAUAAGUUACAUGCAUCACUUAAUUAGUUUGAAAAUCCACAUUUUCUCACCAGGUGUUGCCUUGCUAGAACAUCUAGUUGUAAAUCCCUCUACAUGCAAGACUGAAUUUUUGAUAAGGAAAUUUGCAAUUUAUUCGAUAAAAACACCUUAUCACCUUUUGGCACUUUGUACAUUAGUUCAUUCUUCACCUCAUUUCCAAAGGGUUUAGGAUUUAUCCUAACCAUAUUUGUCAUUGUCAAAGACGACAAGUGCCAAAGGGGUUAGGCUUUACCCUAACCAUAUUUGUCUUCGUCGAUGACGACAAGUGACAAAGGGUUUUGGAUUUACCCUAACCAUAUUUGUCAUCAUCGACGAUGACCAAUGCCAAAAGGUUUAGGCUUUACACUAACAAUAUUUGUCAUCUUCAAGGACGAAUAAUGCUAACGGGUUUUGGAUUUACCCUAACCAUAUGCCAAAUGCAUAAUUAAUCAUUCAUCAUUCAUCAGCAAGCAAGAUCAUCAUGCCAAACGCAUCAUCCAUCAACACGAAGAUCAUCAUGCCAAAUGUAUUAGUCAUCAAUGAUGGCAAAUGUAUUAUUCAUCAAUUAGUCCGUUCAUCCAUCCAUCAUUAGUACACAUGAUUUAAUAGUUCAACACUAAAAGUUCAAUAGGUUUAACACUCACAGCUCAACAGACAUGACUUCACAAUUUAAUUAACACUCAAAGUUCCACUGAGAUGACUUAAUAGUUCAACUAAAAACAAACCAAUUGUUUCUACUAGCUGUCAAAUGCUACACCAUCCUUGAUGUCUUCUUCUUGAUCCUCUUCUCUAUAGGUCGUCCAGCACAAACACCUCUUGAUGAACUAGGUCCAUCUUCCCUUGGAGCAGAAUAUGGUGUUAUGCUACUCGUUGGACUAAUAGCACUUUGAGCAGAAGAUGAUCUUAGGGGCCCUGGAGGAGGAGCUGAGUAGUAGCAUUGAGUUGAUCAACAACGGCUUCCUUUGGAGUGAUACUUGAAGGAUACUUGGGCUAGCAUUGAGUUGAUCAACAACGACUUCCUUUGGAGUGAUACUUGAAGGAUACUUGGGCUUGAAUGUCACUGCCCUAGAAUAAUGUUUGUAAUUAGUUGCAUCAGAGGCAUUCAUGCAUCAUAUUAAUCUUCUGAAAUUUGAAUUGAGGGAAUUCUCUAAGCCUCAAAAUUAAAUAAAGGGCAAGAACCCUAAAAAUUUCAUUCAAUUAACCCAAAACACCCUUCAUUAAUGUUUCACAAUUUUGGCAAGGGUUUGGAUCCAAACCAAAAAUAGUGAACAUUUUUAAGGAAUAUAUUGGGCACUAAAUUUAAAUCAUCAUUGUAUUUCAAUUUGGAUUUGUAUUCAUAAUAUAGAGGAUAUAUUUUCAAAUAACUUUGAAAUAUUUUAUGUCCAUUUGGAAAAUUCCAUUUAGCAACAUAAAAAAAUAUUCAAAGGGCUUUUGUCAUUUUUUGAAAUUGAAAUAGUGGCAAAAGAAAAAAAACAGAAACACAAUAUAGAAAAGGACAGAACUUACCUGUAGCUUACCUCGGCCUAGUAGCCAGGCGGCCCAGCCCACCAAUGCGGACACCGUCUCCCACCUUGCGCCAGAAGGACGCGAGGUGUGUGGUCGCCGCGCACGCACAUGCAGGCCACCUCCUGCCUGCUUACCGCCGCUUGGACAUCGCUAUGGACGCCAGACCCCUGGCCCUCUCUUUCUCUCUCCCGUGUCUUUCCUCCUCUAGCCCGCUCUCCCGCAGCCGUCAUGAGCACCCGAGAGCGCCGCUCAGCGUGGGACAAGGACACCGACGGGUAAGUCUGUAUGGCUGUCUGAUAUGUCUCCAACGUAUCUAUAAUUUUUGGUUGUUCCAUGCUAUUAUAUUACCUGUUUUGGAUGUUUAUUGGCUUUACUUUACACUUUUAUAUCAUUUUUGGGACUAACCUACUAACCGGAGGCCCAGCCCGUAUUGCUGUUUUUUGCCUAUUUCAGUGUUUCGAAGAAAAGGAAUAUCAAACGGAGUCCAAACGGAAUGAAACCUUCGGGAGCGUGAUUUUUGGAACAAACGUGAUCCAGAGGACUUGGAGUGCAAGUCAAGAAGCAAUCGAGGUGGCCACGAGGGUGGAGGGCGCGCCCCCCCUACUAGGCGUGCCCCCCUGUCUCGUGGGCUCCUCGGGCGUCCACCGACUUACUUCUUCUUCCUAUAUAUACCAACGUACCCCGAGAACAUCAGAGGCAACCACGAAAAACUAUUUCCACCACCGUAACCUUUUAUAUCCACGAGAUCCCAUCUUGGAGCCUUCGCCGGCGCUCCGCCGGAGGGGGAAUCGACCAUGGAGGGCUUCUACAUCAACACCAUAGACUCUCCGAUGAGUUGUGAGUAGUUUAUCACAGACCUUCGGGUCCAUAGUUAUUAGCUAGAUGGCUUCUUCUCUCUCUUUGAAUCUCAAUACCAAGUUCUCCUCAAUCUUCUUGGAGAUCUAUUUGAUGUAACUCUUUUUGUGAUGUGUUUGUCGAGAUCCGAUGAAUUGUGGGUUUAUGAUCAAGUUUAUCUAUGAGAAAUAUUUGAAUCUCCUCUGAAUUCUUUUAUGUGUGAUUAAAUUAUCUUUGCAAGUCUCUUCGAAUUAUCAGUUUUGUUUGGCCUACUAGAUUGAUCUUUCUUGCAAUGGGAGAAGUGCUUAGCUUUGGGUUCAAUCUUGUGGUGUCCUUUCCCAGUGACAGCAGGGCAACAAGGCACGUAUUUGUUGCCAUCUAGGAUAAAAAGAUGGGGUUUUUAUCAUAUUUCAUGACUUUAUCCCUCUACAUCAUGUCAUCUUUCUUAAUGCGUUACUCUGUUCUUAUGAACUUAAUACUCUAGAUGCAUGCUGGAUAGCGGUCGAUGUGUGGAGUAAUAGUAGUAUAUGCAGGCAGGAGUCGGUCUACUUGUCACGAACGUGAUGCCUAUAUACAUGAUCAUGCCUAGAUAAUCUCAUAAUUAUUCGCUUUUCUAUCAAUUGCUCGACAGUAAUUUGUUCACCCAUCGUAAUACUUAUGCUAUCUUGAGAGAAGCCACUAGUGAAAUCUAUGGCCCCCGGGUCUAUCUUUUAUCAUAUAAGCUUUCAAUUUACUUUUAUUUGCAUCUUUACUUUUCCAAUCUAUACCAUAAAAUACCAAAAAUGUAUUUAUCUUGUCAUAUUAUCUCUAUCAGAUCUCACUUUCACAAGUGGCCAUGAAGGGAUUGACAACCCCUUUACUGCGUUGGUUGCGAGUUCUUGUUUGUUUGUCUAGGUGCGUGGGACUUUUGAGGAGCCUCCUACUGGAUUGAUAUAUUGGUUCUCAAAAACUGAGGGAAAUACUUACGCUACUAUUGCUGCAUCACCCUUUCCUCUUCAAGGAAAACCAACGCAAGCUCAAGACGUAGCAAGAAGGAUUUCUGGCGCCGCUGCCGGGGAGGUCUUCGCUCAAGUCAAGACAUACCAAGUACCCAUCACAAACUCAUCUCCCUCACAUUUACAUUAUUUGCCAUUUGCCUCUCGUUUUCCUCUCCCCCACUUCACCCUUGCCGUUUUAUUCACGCCCUCUUUCCCAAUCUCCUCUCACUUUCGCUUGCCCUCUUUUUCCUCCUCGCUUUUGUUUGCCGUUAUGUUUGAAAUUGGGGAGAUUAUCGUCGAUAUGGACAAUAAUGAUAACAUGUAAAAUUCUGAUGCUCCUGUUGAAGAACCCCUUAUCUUGCAUACUAAAAAGUUCUGAAUCGGUAGUGGUAAUAUUAUUGGAAAAGGGGUUAUUCAAGAUUUCUUUACUUGUGCUGAUGCUUUACCUUCUAUGAGUGGUUCUAUUCUUCAUAGAACUAGUAGUCUUGUGGAUGCUAUCACCAUGCUUGUAGUUGAUCUUGAAAGACAAUUUAUGCAUAUGCAUCCUUGCGUACAAAGAAUUUUCCUGGAAUUUUCCAAUAUUCAGCAUUCUUCUGUUAAGCGCGCCGCUACUAUCUUUUUGGCACAUGAGUUUAGAUUUAUAAUAAAAGAGGCCAAAGAAAUCUUUGCGCACUAUAGGGUGGACGCCGCCCGCCCUCCCAUAGAGGCGAUCCUCUUUGAUCAAGAGGAAAUUAGGCGUUUUCAAUCUUUGGACUAUGUUGCUUUUAACGAAAACCUUAGAAAAAAGGUUCCUACCAAUGUCCUAGUUGAUAGAAUUUCCGAACUUAAUAAUGAUUUUACUCUUCGAAACAAUGAGCUAGGAUACUCUCUUGAGUAUAGGCUCACGAAGUUCUGCCAAAAGAAUGCUUAUAAUGAUGAAUUAGUUGUGCAAUAUGAAGGGCCAAAGGGGAACCCAUACCUCCUGAGAUCGAUCUUGGGGACUUUUGUCCCAUUAAAUUUAGCCCUUUUGAUUACUUUUGCUUGCCUCAAAGAAAACUUGCUGCUGAACGUAGAGAAUAUGAGAUGAUUUUUCGUGAUCCAUCUUAUUAUUAUGGCACUACUUAGAUCUAUCCUCGCUUUUAUGCCUAGCUAGGGGCGUUAAAUGAUAGCGCUAGUUGGGAGGCAACGCAAUUUUCUUUGUGUUUUUUUGCUUUUGUUUCUGUUUAGUAAUAAAUUUUGCAUCUACCUUCUGUUUAGAUGUGUUUUAAUGGUUUAAUUAGUGUUUAUGCCAACUAGAACCUAUAGGAUAACAUAUGGUGAUAGUUAAUUUGAUUCUGCUGAAAAACAAAAACUUUUCGCGCAUAAAAAUACUUUUAGUAAUUCACAGAAACGUGCUUUUGCGUUGAUUCCUUUUGCUGUAGAUCAAUAGACAAAUUUGCUAGGACUUCCUAUUUUGGUAGAAUUUUUGGAGUUCUAGAAGUUUGCGUUAGUUACAGAUUACUACAUACUGUUCUGUUUUUGACAGAUUCUGUUUUUCAUGUGUUGUUUGCUUAUUUUGAUGCAUCUAUGGAUAUUAAAAUAAUUUAUAAACCAUAGAGAAGUUCAAAAAAAAAUGUUCACAUAUUCAAAAAAUGUUCUUGUCUCCGGUUUUAUUCAGGAAUUGAAGACAUGUUGGUACUUUGUCAAAAUAUACAUCAAGAAAAGUUCACCCCAGAAACUAAUUCAUAUUCGCUACAAUAGCUACUUUCGGUUUGCUAUAGUACUAGUUCUGGUUCGCUACAGUAGACCAUUCCGAUUCUACGUUGAUGUUUAGUUCUUUAAGCUAUGCACUGCCUUAUUGACAAUAAUAUUUGCUUAGCUGGAUUGGCUUGGAGCGUGUUAUAGUACACAGUUGGUCUCCUGUUCGAAUCCUCGGUUGCGCACGUUUCCUUUUCCUGCUCUCUUUUUCGUCCCGCGCUAGAACUCGAUGGGCCGACCCAGUCAGACUUACUCUCUGUGCGUCAUGCUGACAAUUUGACGCAAAGGGCGUCAAAUAGGGGCUCCCAGGUCUGGGAGGUGCGCGCGAAGAGAUUUCUGUUCCGUGUUUCAACCGAAAAAAAACUGAGUUUCGUCAAGAGAUUUCUGUUUCAUUUGUUGGCAGAGAUGGGCAGGUCGUUUCCGAUUAGUGUUUUGUCCAUUUUAUUAGUUUGGUUUUAUUUACAGCCUACCAUCACAAGAUUAUAUGUUAUUACUCUAGAAAAUAUUAUAGAUUAUUGUUAAAUUCUUCUCUAAGCCAUAGUGUCGUCUUUUAAAACGUCUAAAAAAUCGUGGCUACAUAUCUACACAUGAAAAAAAUAAAGAAUGUGAUCCACCUCUAAAGGUGAAAUUUGUGACGCUAUGCACAUCAUCCUAAAAAGUGUCUCUACAUAAUAGGUACUUCCUAAUGUAGAGGCGAAUAAAAAAGCGUCUUAGAAAAAGCGUACCUACUGACAUGUUUUGUUGUAGUGUCAAUGUGUUGAUAUUAUGAUGUGUUGUAAUUCUCCCUUGGUGAUGUGCAAACCACUAUUGCGUAUCACUUCACCUUUCUCGGCCCAGAAGAGAGCAUUAUUUGAUAAAUUUUCUUAGGAUGGAUCACUGGAGUGACAAAUAUUAGUGUGUCCUAAGUUUGUUAAUUACUCCCUUCAUCGUACUAUGCGAGACGUUUUUGCAAGCUGUGUUAGCUUGCAAAAACAUCUUAUAUUAUGGGAUAGAGGGAGUAUUUCAUACGGAUUUAUCAGGGAUCCAGAAUUUUAAUGAUGGUUAGAUGUUAUGUUAUUUAUUCGCCUGUAUUUGUGGAUGCUUGCAUUGCGGGUAUAAUCAAAAGUAUGUAUUUUGUAAGAACAAUACAUAAGUUCGGCUUCACCACACAACACUUAUCAAAGCAAUCAAAGUUAGUAUUACUGGAACUAGGUGAAAAUAUCAUGUCGUCCUCGAGAAUGAUUUGACCCAUAUAAGUAAUAUCACCAGCUUGUCAUUAGCGCAAUUUAGAAUUGGGCCACCUGCUGCACUGUUACACUUUUAUUGCAAUCUAGAUUCUCCCAUUUAUUCUUUUGAUCAAACAAACAUACAAAUAGUCUUGAAACUUUUGCAGUUAUUUCUUUCUAUCAACCAAUUUCUUCUACUCCCCAUUGGGUUCGACACCCUACUUAUCCAAAGGAUCUAGAAUUGAUCCUCUAUAUAUGUGGGUUAUUUUCCACAGAAUAUUAGAGUUGGUUGGGUAUGAAGUUUUUCAUGCAUACCAAUUAUAUGAAUGUUCCCCCGACCAACUUCCAAGUACAAAAAUCCAGCACUUAGUUUUAGCGACAAUGACAAUGGUGAGACAAGUUUUUGUUUAUGUUAAUUUUUGUAGUAACCAUAACAAUUAUUGUUAUUUUUUGCGAGAAUCAUGAUAGGAUGAUCAUGUGCCAUAAAAUCUUGUACAAGGACGAGCAUCGGUAAAAGGUGGCGGUGCUAGCAAGCGAAGCAAGAGAGGUAGUUGCAAGAUGUAGUUCAGAGAAACUGAGUUUCAUGCGUGAGCUAAUCAAGAAAAAUGAAGCCAUGUUGCAUGAAGGAGGUGGAACGUCACAAGAAGGAGGCUCAUGAGGCGGACAUGCAUUGGAAGGGGGAGAUAGGGGGAACACUAUGCAAAUACAACAGAAGAAGGUGACAAUGGUAAACGGAAGUUGUCCUUUUUGACUCAGUAGAAUUUAGUUGUAGUUUUGAGCCUUUGGUUCGAUCUUAAUUUUAGUUAUAUAUUUUAAUUUCAACAUUCGUUUGUAUCUUAAUUUGAGUUAUGGUAUCUCAUAAUGUAUCUUAUUUCCCAUUACUCGAAAUAAAUGUGAACAUAAUUAUGGAAAACAAAUAGUGGUUGUGUAUAAGACCGCCAAAAAAAUCUGCAGAUGACAUCACAUAUCCGAGAAUAAACACGUCAUAGGGAAUCUAGAUUUUGCGGUCUUCCGCCACCCCCUAUGAUAGAAAGACAAAAAGAGUUUUGAGCGUGCGCGUCCCUUGGAGCUCCCACUUUUGCAACAAGCCAAUGCAGCAGGUUGCUUCUGCCAAAGGAUAUGGUGGGAAGUACUAUCCGCCAUUGGCGAUGGCGGGAGGAGACAUGUGUCACUUGGUUGCGCUUCGGCCAGUGGCAUUUUUGCCAAUCUCGUCGAUAUAGGUGUUGUUUUGUAAAUUCCAUUGGGUAGAGGGGCAUUAUUAUACGAACUUCCAUACAUCAGCCUCUUUCUUGUCGGCGGCCUUGAGUGCCUUACUAAACCCUAGAGUUUAUCUCCUCCUCCACCCCAACUCGCCGCUGCGGCAACAAACCCAGUUUCCUCUAGGCGACUUGAGUGGCUUCCUAAACGUUGGAGGCCUCGACCUCAUGUCCACCUCCAUGGCCCUCCAUAAUUGGCAUUGACGACUAUCGUGCAAAUGAUUAGCUUGCACUAGGAAGCCAUUCUAUUGGUGGCAUGUGGGUUUGCAAGCGGCGCAACCGUGGCUUCAGCCAUUGACAACAUGCACUUCUUUCGCGGCAGACAUGUAUAGAUCGUAUUUUGAUAGGACCGUGGUAAUUGAUGGAGGAGCUUACAUUUGCCAUUCUUUAUUGGAUUCCAAAACUGACGCCUCCUGAUUUUUGUGGUCUAGACACUUGACUCAUUUUUCCUUGUAAAAUUAUGCUUAUUUGGAGAGGCUGAAAGGUUUGACUUUCCUUCUCAAGAAAAGAGUUCUAACCAUUAGAUUUACCAAGACACAACUCCAGCAGUAAAAUGGAAGAUGCAUUGUACCUCCAAAGCUACCGUAAUGUCCGAACACUUCUUGGAUUUGGCUAGACCUCAGAAUUUAUCCUACUACGUGGGGCACAUAUCUCGAGGAGGGAACCACAUGAGAGACACAAUCGAGCGCCAAUUUAAGGGAGUUGAAAAUGCCGCUGCGAAAGAUGACUUGGUGAAGACUGGCCCAAAGAACAUCAUGGCACUAGCGGGAUAGGACGCUGAUGCGCAUGGUGGUGGUGAUGCAUCCGAUGAAAGAACGCAAUGAAGAGUAGGUCUUCAAGGAGAGUGCUGAGGCGGUUCGCUUCGUAGCUUGCACUAUCACGCUCUUGGGUGGAACUCUAGGGCCCUAAUCUAACCUCCAUCGAAGGCUAGAUCUCAACUCUGAUGGAGUGACAAAGCCCUAGAAUUUUGGACUCGGGUUCUAGCUAUGCUUCCAGUACCAGGUGCGAUGCAAUACCGAUGCAGUAGACUAGUGGAGCAAAACACUACUCUUUAGCAAGUGCCAGGUUCUUCCAACAAUCCCCUUUCAUUCCUUUUGUCUACACAAUAAUGUGAGUUUUAGCAAGACAUGGGCUGUCUACACACAAGUUGCCUGGUUUUUUAAUGGGAAGAACCUAGGAAGUUCGUGCUCAUUGUCUCCGCUUAGUGCCCGCUGUCCGGUGUGUCACCGAGAGGCAUCGACGGAAGGGGGUAACAGAGGUGGCGCUAAGGGCAAGGUCGACCAUAGCAACAAGAGGUGGCAAUGAGAUCACACAUGGCGUUAGAUGGUUAAUAAGUGACAAGUGGCGGCGAUGAGAUCGCACAUGUCGGUAGAUGGAUCUGUGGAUGGUGGCUGAAAUGAAAAUACCAGAGGUUACACUAGUGGGAAAACCCAUAUAGGUGUAGAUAAUUAGUGGCGCCGGCCCCAAAUGGGACGCCGCUGGUAUUUUGGUAAAAUGUAAUAGAACAUAGGGCAAUCAAAACAGCAGGUUUAACAUAAUAUUCAUAGGUUGAGUGCAUUGAAACCAAUCAAGAUUUAACUGAGCUCCAUAUAAAGAGCUACAAUACACUGGUAAUACAACAUGCACAUGAUAAGUUCAGAAUGGGUAAUUGAUUGUUCAGAAUGGGAAAAGGAUGAUUUUUUGUCGAUGAGCACUUGAAUCCGCCAAUGUAAGGACAUGAAUCAUGUCAAUGGAUAAAUUAGGCCGCCAUGCAUUAGCCCUGCAAAAGAGACAUAUUGAAACCUAGCUCCAGUAAGUAUCGCCCCAUGCAAUUGUAGAAUUGUUAUAUGUGUAAUGAUUGUUGUCACUCGCAAAUAAAAUGCAAUACAUGUUGACAGCAGGAACAAAUACCACGGUACAUGCUAAACAAAAUCUCACUGGAACUAAAUAACAUGUGCAAAAUUGGAUGGUCAAUAAAAUCAGAUGAUACCACUUCACCUAUAGACUAUAAAUUUGAAUACAGACACAACAGAAGGGCACGGUAAACAGAGGAAUGCAAAAGGGCAAAAAACGUAAGGAAGCCUACACACAAAAACAAAUCUUAUCACCAACUCUAGUAUAUAUCCAGAGCUUAUAUUUCUGUAAAAAUGAAGGUGUGGGCACACAAAAUCGGAUAAAUAUAGCAAGAUAAAUUAGCCAAUAACUGGGAUACAUGCACAACUAAACUCUAAUUGGGAUGUCAAUACUACCACAUUUCAACCACCCUAACCAUGAAAAGGACUGAAAGAUUAGGUUUCGAGAAAACUAACAAGAAUUAACAUUUACUUUUCUAUUUCAUAUAUAUAGGAGCAUGCUGAUCUUGGAUGCCGAAUAAAUACUCACUCGAGCUCUCAUAAACAUAGAAUUCCACUGAAGAAUAGGUGUUGCAGAUGUCAUAUAUUUUAGUGCUUCCACUAUUAUUAGAUGAGGCCUCCGGUGAACGUUGCAGUAUCAUCUUUUUAAGCACUGGUGCACAUUUGAGUAUUAAUUUCAAUAAAUCAAACUCAUGUUCCUGUCCUUCGAAGCCAUUGAUUUCCACUUCUUCAAGAGCAGUUAAGGAGAUUGUUUGAGAUCUCCAGUUUGUGGGUUGACAUGAACAGUUUGACGAGCAUUUUCCUUUCAGCUAAAACCAAAAAUUAAAUGUAAAUUACUACUACACAGUGUAUUAUUGAGAUAUAAUAGUAUGAAAGGGGAGAACUAGUUACGUACCGCGAUCUCUCUAGGACGAUCUUAAGCCUCUGUAUACCUCUAGAAAUACGGGUGAUCCCAAGGAGAUGAAACACCAGUGCUCCAAAAACAUGUCCGGCUUUGAGGAGACGUAGCUCCAAAAGAGAGAAAUCAGCAACCAGGUGCUUCUCUAUCUCCUGGGCAAAGUUGUCUUCAUUGGAAGUAAACCAGGAGCUCUGAAAAAACAUUCACAGGAUAUACAUAUAUCAUUUGUACAAUUCUGUCUAGAGAUAAAAAGAGACAAAAAUAUUUUUUCAAAGGUAAUCCCGGCAUUGCCACUUUGCUGGUUCCGGUAAAUUAAAGUGAGUAAAUUGAGAUGAGUGGAUGAUACAUACUCCCUCCGUUCCUAAAUAUAAGUCUUUGUAGACAUUCCACUAUACAUCACAUUCGGAUGUAUGUAGAUGCAUUUUAGAGUGUAGAUUCACUCAUUUUGCUCCGUCUGUAGUCCACAUAGUGAAAUCUCUACAAAGACUUAUAUUUAGGAAAGGAGGGAGUACAUGGGAGGCAGAGCCGCAGAGGCACUAAUGUGGAUUGAAAAAUUGCCACUUUGCUAGUUCCAGUAAUAAAUUGAGUAAAUGGAGAUGAGCGGAUGAUAGAUACAUACAUUGGAGGCAGAGGCACUAAUGUGGAGCGAAGAAGGAAGCUGCCCCUGUGUAUUUCCUGUGUGUAGCCACAACUUCUGGAGGCUCCAACGACCAAACCGGACGAUGCUCCCGUCCCCCAAAUACCACGAAUGCCACGAAACCUUCUCCAGCAUCGGCGCCGAGACGGAGAAGCUGCUGACCAGCUUGUAUGUGCCGAAGGACACCGUGAGUCGCUUCAGCAGAGGGGCGACGAUGUCGACUGCAUCUGCGUACAUUAUGCUGCUUUCAAGGAAAAGUUCCUGCAGCAAUGGCAGGUGGAGUGAGAUCGACCCGUUCUGGACAAGUCCGAAGCCAUCGUUGACAAACUUGAGGCUGAGCACGAGGAGGUGCGGGCAUCGGGGGAGCAAGCUGUGGAGGCCGCCCAGGCC
rnacentral:lncRNA from 1 species